rnacentral:rRNA from 1 species
CGAGCGAACAGACGAGGAGCUUGCUUCUCUGACGUUAGCGGCGGACGGGUGAGUAACACGUGGAUAACCUACCUAUAAGACUGGGAUAACUUCGGGAAACCGGAGCUAAUACCGGAUAAUAUAUUGAACCGCAUGGUUCAAUAGUGAAAGACGGUUUUGCUGUCACUUAUAGAUGGAUCCGCGCCGCAUUAGCUAGUUGGUAAGGUAACGGCUUACCAAGGCAACGAUGCGUAGCCGACCUGAGAGGGUGAUCGGCCACACUGGAACUGAGACACGGUCCAGACUCCUACGGGAGGCAGCAGUAGGGAAUCUUCCGCAAUGGGCGAAAGCCUGACGGAGCAACGCCGCGUGAGUGAUGAAGGUCUUCGGAUCGUAAAACUCUGUUAUUAGGGAAGAACAAAUGUGUAAGUAACUAUGCACGUCUUGACGGUACCUAAUCAGAAAGCCACGGCUAACUACGUGCCAGCAGCCGCGGUAAUACGUAGGUGGCAAGCGUUAUCCGGAAUUAUUGGGCGUAAAGCGCGCGUAGGCGGUUUUUUAAGUCUGAUGUGAAAGCCCACGGCUCAACCGUGGAGGGUCAUUGGAAACUGGAAAACUUGAGUGCAGAAGAGGAAAGUGGAAUUCCAUGUGUAGCGGUGAAAUGCGCAGAGAUAUGGAGGAACACCAGUGGCGAAGGCGACUUUCUGGUCUGUAACUGACGCUGAUGUGCGAAAGCGUGGGGAUCAAACAGGAUUA